UGUCCUGCCAACAGACAACAAGUUAGACCGGAACUCACAAAGCACCACACAGACUGUGACCAGAUGGAAAAAGGAGAUUGGUGAGGAGGAACAAGGAAACGUUUCCCUGCUGUGAAGGAGUACAGCUACUGUCUCUCUCUCUCUCUCUCUCUCCAGUGCCACGCCCCGUCCCUACGGGUGUCUGACGACAGCAGUACUAGCAAGAAGCAGUAUGAAUAAUAGAUGCACUUCUCCAUUUCCCCAACGGCUCCCGAGUGGCGCAGCGGUCUAAGGCACCGCAUCUCAGUGUUAGAGGCGUCACUACAGACCUUGGUUUGAUUCCAAGCUGUAUCACAACCGGCCGUGAUUGGGAGUCCCAUAGGCCGGCGCACAAUUGUCCCAGCGUCAUCAGGUUAGGGUUUGGCCGGGGUAGGCCAUCAUUGUAAAUAAGACUUUGUUCUUAACUGACUUGGCUAGUUAAAUAAAGAUGAAAUAUAUAUAUUUUUUUAUUCACCCACAGAGAUGUGCCUCUCAGCUGGUGACUCUCUUGAUUAGUCUCAACCAAAUAAAUCAAAGGACAGCAGGUCAAAUGUAAUAUCACUAGCUCAAAAAAACGAAUGAAAUCAUUGAUCACUGAGGAGAAAAGUUCAUUGAUACAGCUUCAAAUCAAAACUGAGUUUUAGGGAGUAAAAACGUGAGUUUUACAGAGUGGCUGCGUUGCCGAAAACAUUGAAUGACUUUUCCAGAUAGUCUAGAAAACCGAACCUUCUGCACAUGUGCGUAAUUAUUUAAUUUACAAAUGUUUCCUACUUUUUAUUUGAUAAACCACACUGCACCAUAGAACUGUAUUUUGAGAACCAUAUCAGCUUGAGAUCUAGCAAGGAAGGUUUGGUACAAAUAUGUUCAGACAAAGUUCUUAUUAUGUCCUCUCUGGUGUAUACAGUAGCAACACCACUAGGACCUCCUGGUAUGCCUCGCUGUAACGGCAUUCUUCCUCCUCUUCUGAGGAGGAGGAGUAGCGAGAAGGAUCGGAGGACCAAAGCGCAGCGUGUGCAGCUGAGAAGUCUUUAACCCUAAUUGCCUCAUGGAUGUCCCGUCAAAUCCAGCAUUAAUCCAUGACUACGAAAGCCUUUAAAGUCAUCAAGGUCUGGGUAGCAAGUACACAAAACCAUAGGUGAUACAGUAUGGCUCUGGAGAGGAUGAAGAAUGGCCCACACAACCACCCACAAAUAUCACUUACAGUCUUAGAAGAGUAAAAAGAAAUCUUGAACAAUAGGCAUAAAAAGCCUUAUUAUUUUCGAAUCUAAUCUAAUUGGUCGCGAACACCGAUUAUUAGCUCCAACAGUGCAGUAGAAUGUCUAGCAAAUACGGUACAGAUAAUCUAUAAAUCUAAACAAGAAAUCAAGAAAUGUCAGAACGAGUCCAAUUAACAAUCCAAUAUAGAUAUAUUAGAGUGAGCAGUGUCAGAAUGCAGAAUAUAAAUAUGCGGUGUUUUUAAACAGUAUAUAAAUUCGGAAGAUAAAAUGGUAUGUACAAUAGUAGGUAUAUUAGAAUGGGCUAUGCCUAAUUAAAUCAAUAAAAAUAUUUUUUAAAGUUUUUUUUUUAUGUUGUGAAUACAGUAAGUAAACAAUAGUAUAUGAAGUGACCUAUGUUCAAAGUCUCUAUAUACAUGGGACAUUUUAUAGACUCUUUCCUCAUACAGGAUGGAUUAUAGUAUCAUAAAAGAUGUUAUUGUAGAAUCCCUUUUGAGGAAAAAAGAUACAGGUAUAUAUGAUUUUCCCAGAGUCUCUUCAUGUUGUCACUGAAACUUCAACACCACACUACAUUCAUGCAGAGAUGAGUGAUCUGAGUGCAUUCACAAAUGACUGAAUCCUCCCUUUCGAGGCCCCUUUCACGGACUGCCUCAAAAAGAGGAUGACGUAACUAUUUGGAUGAACAGCUGAAUGACUUCAAGUUGUAACUCAGUAACUAUUUUGUUAUAAACUAUAUUGGUGGAGUGAAGUAUUUAUCCACAAAAUACUUGUGAAACAUACUGGUUAGUUCUCUGAUCUUUAUGAAUAGUAUAAAUGUACUAAGAUACCAUGUUAGCUACCAUUAUCUGUAAUUCAGAGGAGGUCUGGACUACAAAUAAGGAACUGGGGCUUGUAAAAAAAUAUAUGCUUUCAUUUCCUGGCCGAUUCUGCAAAUUUAGUGUAAAUAAAAACAUAAUUUUUCAAAAAUAAUCUCUUUGUUUAAAAACAGACAGACUUUGAGUAGCUGCAUUUGGACUUCCCUCUCAGAAUGUGCAGCAACUCAAACAGAAUAAAAAACAAUUGUGUUAGGUGAAGAAACAGCACUUUUAAAAACAAGCCAACCAAAGGAAUUCUAAGCGCCAGUAACACAACAGAGCUGUGAGAUAGAGUAAGGUUUCCUGGACACACAUUUUAAGCCUUGACCAAAAAAGCAUUUUCGUGUUUGCUUUUAAAUCCAGGUCUAGGCUUAAUCUGUGUCCAGGAAACUUCCCCAAAAGUUGUUGUUUCAUGAUACCUUGUUGCAUACCGCCCCUUAAAUGGGAGUCUGAUGACUAUAUAUUUUUCUCACAAAAGAAACGCAUCUGGUUAAAACAACUAAGUAGACUCACCUCCUAAACAUGACUAAAAUCAGGUUUAGUCUUAAUCUAGGGGGAAACCUGUUAUUCAAUUGAUAAAACCAAGGUAGCAAGAUGGCACAGUAUUAUUAUCCCUCAACCAAUUGUGCUAUUGUGUCUUUUUUCGCGUUAUUAUUAUUUAUUUUAUUUAUUUCACCUUUAUUUAACCAGGUAGGCCAGUUGAGAACAAGUUCUCAUUUACAACUGUGACCUGGCCAAGAUUAAGCAAAGCAGUGCGACAAAAACAACAUAGUUACACAUCAACAAACGUACAGUCAAUAACACAAUAGAAACAUUAAUGUACAGUGUGUGCAAAUGUAGGAGAGUAGGGAGGUAAGGCAAUAAAUAAAUAAUUACAAUUGAGUUUUAACACUGGAGUGAUUAAUGUGCAGAUGAUGAUGUGCAAGUAGAGAUACUGGGGUGCAAGAGGGUAAGUAAUAAUAUGGGGAUGAGGUAGUUGGGUGUGCUAUUUACUGAUUGGCUGUGUACAGGUACAAUGAUCGGAAAGCUGCUCUGACAGCUGAUGCUUAAAGUUAGAGAGGGAGAUAUAAGACUCCAGCUUCAGUGAUUUUUGCAAUUUGUUCCAGUCAUUGGCAGCAGAGAACUGGAAGGAAAGUCGGCCAAAGGAAGUGUUGGCUUUGGGGAUGACCAGUGAAAUAUACCUGCUGGAGCGCGUGCUACAGGUGGGUGUUGCUAUGGUGACCAGUGAGCUGAGAUAAGGCGGGCCUGAGGUAGAGUAUCUCAAGAUAAGCUGUAGACCACACUAUUUUACCAAGAGUUUUCAUCAAUAUUCUUUGUAGCUGUCUAUUUACCACCACAAACCGAUGCUGGCACGAAGACCGCACUCAAUGAGCUGUAUACGGCAAUAAGCAAACAGGAAGAAGCUCAUUCAGAGGCGGCGCUCCUAGUGGCCGGGGAAUUUAAUGCAGGGAAACUUAAAUCUGUUUGACCUCAUUUCUACCAGCAUGUUAAAUGUGCAACCAGAGGGAAAAAAAACUCUCAGACCCAGACCACUUUUACUCCACACACAGAGACUCGUACAAAGCUCUCCCUCGCCCUCCAUUUAGCAAAUAUGACCAUAAUUGUAUCCUCCUGAUUCCUGCUUACAAGCAAAAAUUAAAGCAGGAAGCACCAGUGACUCGGUCAAUAAAAAAGUGGUCAGAUUAAGCAGAUGCUAAGCUACAGGUAUUCUUCAAAUGGCAUUGAGGAGUACACCACAUCAGUCACUGGCUUCAUCAAUAAGUGCAUAAAUGAUGUUGUCCCCACACUGAAAGAAGCGAGACUAACUCAGAAGCAUAUAAUAAAUCCUGCUAUGCCCUCUGACGAACCAUCAAACAGGCAAAGCGUCAAUACAGGACAGAUUGAAUCGUACUACACCGGCUCUGACGCUCGUCGGAUGUGGCAGGGCUUGCAAACUAUUACAGACUACAAAGGGAAGCACAGCUGCGAGCUGCCCAGUGACACCAGCCUACCAGAUUAACUAAAUUACUUCUAUGCUCGCUUCGAGGCAAGUAACACUGAAGCAUGCAUGAGAGCAUCAGCUGUUCUGGGCAACUGUGUGAUAAUGCUCUCCGUAGCCGAUGUGAGUAAGACCUUUAGACAGGUCAACAUUCACAAGGCCGCAGGGUCAGAUGGAUUACCAGGACUUGUACUCCGAGCAUGCGCUGACCAACUAGCAAAUGUCUUCACUGACAUUUUCAACCUGUCCCUGACUGAGUCUGUAAUACCAACAUGUUUCAAGCAGACCACCAUAGUCCCUGUGCUCAAGAACACUAAGGUAACCUGCCUAAAUGACUACCGACCCAUAGCACUCAUGUCUUUAGCCCCCAGGUGGUAAGGGUAGGCACAUCUGCCACGCUGAUCCUCAACACGGGGGCCCCUCAUGGGUGCGUACUCAGUCCCCUCCUGUACUCCCUGUUCAUUCAUGACUGCAUGGUUAGGCACGACUCCAACACCAUCAUUAAGUUUGCAGAUGACUCAACAGUGGUAGGCCUGAUCACCGACAACGAUGAGACAGCCUAUAGGGAGGAGGUCAGAGACCUGGCCGUGUGGUGCCAGGAUAACAACCUAUCCCUCAACGUGGUCAAGACAAAGGAGAUGAUAGUGGACUACUGGAAAGGGAGAACCGAGCACGCCGCCAUUCUCAUCGACGGGGCUGUAGUGGAGCAGGUUGAGAGUUUCCAAGUUCCUUGUAGUCCACAUCACCAACAAACUAUCAUGGUCCAAACACACUAAGACAGUCGUGAAGAGGGCACGACAAAGUCUAUUCCCCCUCAGGAGACUGAAAAGACUUGGCAUGGGU